CACGCGCCUUUGGGAAUCUUCGGUGCGCCAAGUCUGUUCGCCGCCGGGGUCUAUCACCCCCGCCCCUCGCCUCUGCCCGUGAGCGUGUGAGUUGUAGCGUACCCUGGGGUCUGUUCUGGAGGAGGCCUGAGAGCGGGGUUGCCUGGGGCGUGGGUCUCUCAUCCCUCUCGUCCUGGUGAAGAAGAAGAGUAUACCCAGCGGCUGGCUUGGCUUUUUCAGAGGAAACAGAGACUCUCAGACAUGAAUACUGUGACACUGACCACCAGGCCAACUUAACAUCAGCAGAUAUCCUGUCUCAGAUGAAGAGAAUGGCCUGUCCAGAAGACAGCCAAAUACAUCCUUCAAACAGACUUCACUGCAGGAGACAGAGUGGAUUCAUCCUGUAUUCUCCAUGUAGACUUCCAUCUUCAUGAGUACUCCAAGAAGAUGGUUCAGUUGACUAUUGCAAAGUCUCAGGUAUGUCUUUAUCAGCAGCAUGAAAAUGGACUAAUAGUACCAGUAGAGUGGGGCAUUGCUGAAAAGAUACCCGAAAAUGUGGAAGCAACUUUGGAACUGGGUGUUGAAAUAAUCUGGAGGGCUCAGAAGAAGAUA
rnacentral:lncRNA from 10 species